rnacentral:rRNA from 1 species
AUUGAACGCUGGCGGCAUGCUUUACACAUGCAAGUCGAACGGUAACAGGCCGCAAGGUGCUGACGAGUGGCGAACGGGUGAGUAAUGCAUCGGAACGUGCCCAGUCGUGGGGGAUAACGCAGCGAAAGCUGUGCUAAUACCGCAUACGAUCUAUGGAUGAAAGCGGGGGACCGUAAGGCCUCGCGCGAUUGGAGCGGCCGAUGUCAGAUUAGGUAGUUGGUGGGGUAAAGGCCUACCAAGCCGACGAUCUGUAGCUGGUCUGAGAGGACGACCAGCCACACUGGGACUGAGACACGGCCCAGACUCCUACGGGAGGCAGCAGUGGGGAAUUUUGGACAAUGGGCGCAAGCCUGAUCCAGCAAUGCCGCGUGCAGGAAGAAGGCCUUCGGGUUGUAAACUGCUUUUGUACGGAACGAAACGGUCUGGGUUAAUACCCUGGGCUAAUGACGGUACCGUAAGAAUAAGCACCGGCUAACUACGUGCCAGCCGCCGCGGUAAAAC